rnacentral:rRNA from 1 species
GACGAACGCUGGCGGCGUGCUUAACACAUGCAAGUCGAACGGAAAGGCCCUGCUUUUGUGGGGUGCUCGAGUGGCGAACGGGUGAGUAACACGUGAGUAACCUGCCCUUGACUUUGGGAUAACUUCAGGAAACUGGGGCUAAUACCGGAUAGGAGCUCCUGCUGCAUGGUGGGGGUUGGAAAGUUUCGGCGGAUGGGGAUGGACUCGCGGCUUAUCAGCUUGUUGGUGGGGUAGUGGCUUACCAAGGCUUUGGCGGGUAGCCGGCCUGAGAGGGUGACCGCCCACAUUGGGACUGAGAUACGGCCCAGACUCCUACGGUAGGCAGCAGUGGGGAAUAUUGCACAAUGGGCGGAAGCCUGAUGCAGCAACGCCGCGUGCGUGAUGACGGCCUUCGGGUUGUAAACCGCUUUCGCCUGUGACGAAGCGUGAGUGACGGUAAUGGGUAAAGAAGCACCGGCUAACUACGUG